CUGCAAUUGUAACCGUUAACACUUUAGACACGGUUAGGGAUGUUAUUCGUAUGGCAUUACCAGUACUGGGAUUAACUGGCUCAGAAAAAGAUUACCAACUGUGGGUGCAUGCUGGAAAGAACGUGCCUCCCUUCCCACUCCUGGGUCACGAGCACCCAUAUGUAAUUCAAGAACACUACCAUGAGGUUUCACCCAAUCAGUGUACACCGGAGAAGUCCACCUCUCCAUCCAGCCUUCGGCAGGCCAUCCCGAAGAUCUUAAAGUCUGGA